rnacentral:rRNA from 1 species
AGGGCGCAUGGUGAAUGCCUUGGCAUCAGGAGCCGAUGAAGGACGUGAUAAGCUGCGAUAAGCUUCGGGUAGGCGCACAUAGCCUGAGAUCCGAAGAUCUCCGAAUGAGGAAACUCACAUGGGAAACCCCAUGUAUCAUUAAGUGAAUACAUAGCUUAAUGAAGGUAACCCAGGGAACUGAAACAUCUAAGUACCUGGAGGAAGAGAAAGAAAAAUCGAUUUUCUUAGUAGCGGCGAGCGAAAGGGAAAGAGCCCAAACCGGAAACUUGUUUCCGGGGUUGUGGACAUAACAUAAAAGUGGAGGCUAUUGUAACUGAAGAGAACUGGAAAGUUCCACCGUAGAAGGUAAUAGUCCUGUAAGUGAAACGAGAAGACCACGAGUUAUGAUCCAGAGUACCACGAGACACGUGAAACCUUGUGGGAAGCAGGGAGGACCACCUCCCAAGGCUAAAUACUACCUGAUGACCGAUAGUGAAGCAGUACCGUGAGGGAAAGGUGAAAAGAACCCCGGGAGGGGAGUGAAAUAGAACCUGAAACCGUGUGCCUACAACCGCUCAGAGCCCCUUAUGAGGGUGAUGAGGUGCUUUUUGUAGAACGAGCCAACGAGUUACGGUAUGUAGCAAGGUUAAGUACUUAAGGUACGGAGCCGAAGGGAAACCGAGUCUGAAUAGGGCGACUAGUUGCAUGCCGUAGACCCGAAACCGGGUGACCUAUCCAUGGCCAGGUUGAAGCGAGGGUAAAACCUCGUGGAGGACCGAACCACGUUGCUGUUGAAAAAGCAUGGGAUGAGCUGUGGAUAGCGGAGAAAUUCCAAUCGAACCCGGAGAUAGCUGGUUCUCUCCGAAAUAGCUUUAGGGCUAGCGUCGAGUAUGAGUAGUGGAGGUAGAGCACUGAAUGGGCUAGGGGGCAUAGCGCUUACCGAACCUUAUCAAACUCCGAAUGCCACAUACUUUGAGCUCGGCAGUCAGACUACGAAUGAUAAGAUCCGUGGUCAAAAGGGAAACAGCCCAGAUCGUCAGCUAAGGUCCCAAAGUGUAAGUUAAGUGGGAAAGGAUGUGAGAUUUCUAAGACAACUAGGAUGUUGGCUUAGAAGCAGCCAUUCAUUAAAAGAGUGCGUAAUAGCUCACUAGUCGAGAGAUCUUGCGCCGAAAAUGUAACGGGGCUAAACUUACCACCGAAGCUACGGGCUUGAACUUAGUUCAAGCGGUAGGAGAGCGUCGUAACCGGGCUGAAGUCGUACCGUAAGGAGCGGUGGACUGGUUACGAGUGAGAAUGUUGGCAUCAGUAGCGAGAUGUGGGUGAGAAUCCCACAGGCCGAAAACCUAAGGUUUCCUCAGGAAGGUUCGUCCGCUGAGGGUUAGUCGGGACCUAAGCCGAGGCCGAAAGGCGUAGGUGAUGGACAACUGGUUGAUAUUCCAGUACCACUACCAUCGUUAUUAUCGAUGGCGUGACGCAGGAGGAUAGUGUGUGCUAGCUAUUGGAUGCUAGUCUAAGCGUUUAGGCAGUGAGAGUAGGCAAAUCCGCUCUCAUAAUGCUGAGGCGUGAUGGGGAAGGUUCUACGGAACCGAAGUACAUGAUUCCACGCUGCCAAGAAAAGCGUCUAGAGAGAGAAGUAGUGCCCGUACCGCAAACCGACACAGGUAGGUGAGGAGAGAAUCCUAAGGCCGGCGGAAGAAUUACAGUUAAGGAACUCGGCAAAUUGACCCCGUAAGUUCGCGAGAAGGGGUGCCUACGAGAGUAGGCCGCAGAGAAUAGGCCCAAGCAACUGUUUAGCAAAAACACAGGUCUCUGCUAAAGCGUAAGCUGAUGUAUAGGGGCUGACGCCUGCCCGGUGCUGGAAGGUUAAGGGGAACACUUAGCGCAAGCGAAGGUGUGAACUUAAGCCCCAGUAAACGGCGGCCGUAACUAUAACGGUCCUAAGGUAGCGAAAUUCCUUGUCAGGUAAGUUCUGACCCGCACGAAUGGCGUAAUGACUUGGGCACUGUCUCAACUGUAAAUCCGGCGAAGUUGUAGUGCGAGUGAAGAUGCUCGCUACCCGCGAUUGGACGGAAAGACCCCGUAGAGCUUUACUGUAGCUUAGCAUUGAGUUUUGGUAUUGUCUGUACAGGAUAGGUGGGAGACUAGGAAACCAGGGCGUCAGCCUUGGUGGAGUCAACCUUGGGAUACCACCCUGACAGUACUGAAAUUCUAACUGGCGGCCAUGAAUCUGGUCACAGGACAUUGUUAGGUGGGCAGUUUGACUGGGGCGGUCGCCUCCUAAAAAGUAACGGAGGCGCCCAAAGGUUCCCUCAGAACGGUCGGAAAUCGUUCGAAGAGUGCAAAGGCAGAAGGGAGCCUGACUGCGACACCCACAAGUGGAGCAGGGACGAAAGUCGGGCUUAGUGAUCCGGUGGUACCUCGUGGGAGGGCCAUCGCUCAACGGAUAAAAGCUACCUCGGGGAUAACAGGCUGAUCUCCCCCAAGAGUCCACAUCGACGGGGAGGUUUGGCACCUCGAUGUCGGCUCGUCGCAUCCUGGGGCUGAAGUAGGUCCCAAGGGUUGGGCUGUUCGCCCAUUAAAGCGGCACGCGAGCUGGGUUCAGAACGUCGUGAGACAGUUCGGUCCCUAUCCGUCGCGGGCGUAGGAAAUUUGAGAGGA